GAAGGCUGAAAUUCGCCUUCAUGAAGUCGGAAUUGCUAGUAAUGGCAGGUCAGCAUACUGCCGUGAAUACGUUCCCGGGCCUUGUACACACCGCCCGUCACACCAUGAGAGUUGGGAAUACCCGAAGCCUGUGAGCCAACAAACGAGGCAGCAGUCGAAGGUAGAAUCAAUGAUUGGGGUGAAGUCGUAACAAGGUAUC
rnacentral:rRNA from 1 species